GGUGAAGGUCGGCUUUUUGAGUUGUAGUUGUAUUUAAACUGUAUGCAUUGCUCAGAAAUGAAGUCAUGAUGAAAUGUGUAAAUCCAAAACUUGUAUCCUCAUGAAAUGUGUUAUACAAGCUGACAGAUUUACUCUUGGAGGCCGACCCAAGGCUUGGCAGUAUCACUGGGGGCUGGAUGUUGCAUAAAUCCACAGGUGGUGGUGGGCAGCGGAAAUGAGUAGUCAUCCCUCCUGACCCAGAAGGGAACAGUGGACAGCAAAUCAAAGCAGCUACUGGAAAUGGAAAAUGCAGAUUGACACUACGCCUCUACCUCCGAGUGCAAAAGAAUUUCAGCAUGUGCCCAAAUGUCCAUGUGCCAACUGCGGAGUAAAGAUUCCUUUACAGGCUCUCCCAAGUCAUAUUCAAAACUGCAAGGACAAUAUAGAUUUGUGCAGUUCUUCAGAGGAAUGGUGCACCCGCGAACAUGAAAAUCUGGAAAAUCAGACAGAAAUGAAUGUCCUGUAUGCAGACAAGCCUUCAGCACUGACGUCACUGAGGCUCAUGCAUCAGAUUGUGGAUUAAGAGAAGCAGCUGACAAAGUUCAAAGCAACACCUCAGAAGAUCCAGUGAAAUCCCUUCAAAGCACUGAAGAUAUAUUGCGGUUCCUUGAGGAACAAGUUGAUACCACAACACAAUUUAAAUUGUGUGUGGACAGAGAGCAACUACUGGACAGAACCAUUCUCCAGUGGAGAAGGAAUAAAAAUGGCAUCUCCUACAAGCGGCCUUAAGGUUGUGUACAUGGGAGAGGCGGGCAUUGACACAGAGGCUCUCCCAAAGGAAUUUCUGACUGUGUGUAUGUGUGCGUGAUUUCUUUUAUAGACAUGAUGUCAGCCAUUGAAAAACGGUUCUUUGAAGGCCCUGGGAACCAGGGUAAAAACCCCAAGUACUCACUGACUGACCUUGAUCAUGAACAUUUCAGAACUAUAGGUGAAGUAAUGGCAGUGAGCCUAGCCCAAGGUGGCCCACCCCCUGCUUUUCUAAAGACUGGUGUUACAGUUUCCUUUGCUAUGGUGAGGUGGAUUUGAGCACACUUUCUCAAGAGGAUGUAGCGGAUCUAGAAUCCUGCCAGCUUAUCCACAAUGUUGAAAAGGCAACUGAUCCUGAAUCACUGAUGGUGUGGGUCGAUCACAUUGUAAGCUGUGGUUACUCAGGCCAGAUCAAACUGGACAACAAAAAAAGCAUAAUUCGAGCGAUAGUACUGCAUUCCACUACGAGAUUAAUCCCAAUACUGCAGCAGGUGUGAAAGGGUCUGGAGCUGUAUGGUCUCAUGGACCAGACGGCUGCCCACCCACAAGCUUCUUAUCCGCUCUUUGUACCUGGGAAAAUU